CUGGGCAGUCGACACUCGAUAGGCGACACUCGAAACUUGAAAAGGCUAGGUUGUAGGUUGUAUAGUUUGCAGCCAACAGUAAGUAAACAAUGGAGAACGACAUAGAGGUAGAAGUGGACGAUAUUAUAUUGAAGGACGAAUCAGAUUCAACAUCCCAUUACGACACAAAUGAGGAACCAAAGUGUUGUGCACCUGGUUGUGAAACACGGCAAAUCACCGAGGGUAUGACGCUGUAUCACUUCCCUGAUCCGCUUCGGCAAACUUUAAAACACCGAAUCUGGAAACAACUGCUUUUAAUUACUGGCGACGUGCACGACUCGGACACAGUAUGUAAUGUGCAUUUUAACAAAGAAAGUUUUACAUUGAACAAGGAUUUUACCAGAACUAAAAUUUUGAGAUCUGAUGCAUUUCCCUGUGCUACAAGUAAAUUUAUUUUACCCCUAGAAAAGCGACAGGAGUUUGCCGGUAUGAAAAUAGGCGAACCUAAUGCACAUAAAAGAAAAAGAAGGAGACGCCCUUCUGUAGAAGUAAUUCAUGUCGAACCCAAUAUUGUUCAGGAAGAAAUCGUUUAUAUGAAUCCUCUUGAAGAUCAAUCUGAUCUUAUUGUCGAGGAAAGUAUUUUGUAUGAAGAAAUAGAAUAGAU